GAUUCUGGCUCAGGAUGAACGCUAGCUACAGGCUUAACACAUGCAAGUCGAGGGGCAGCAUUGGAGUAGCAAUACUCAGAUGGCGACCGGCGCACGGGUGAGUAACACGUAUCCAACCUGCCGCUUACUCGGGGAUAGCCUUUCGAAAGAAAGAUUAAUACCCGAUGGUAUAAAGAGUUCGCAUGUUCUCUUUAUUAAAGAAUUUCGGUAAGCGAUGGGGAUGCGUUCCAUUAGAUAGUUGGCGGGGUAACGGCCCACCAAGUCUACGAUGGAUAGGGUUCUGAGAGGAAGGUCCCCCACAUUGGAACUGAGACACGGUCCAAACUCCUACGGGAGGCAGCAGUGAGGAAUAUUGGUCAAUGGACGAGAGUCUGAACCAGCCAAGUAGCGUAGAAGGAUGACUCGCCCUAUGGGUUGUAAACUUCUUUUAUAAGGAAUAAGUGAGGGACGUGUCCUUUUUGUAUGUACCUUAUGAAUAAGGAUCGGCUAACUCCGUGCCAGCAGCUGC
rnacentral:rRNA from 1 species